rnacentral:rRNA from 1 species
GGCCAGACUCCUACGGGAGGCAGCAGUGAGGAAUAUUGGUCAAUGGGCGAGAGCCUGAACCAGCCAAGUCGCGUGAAGGAUGACGGCCCUACGGGUUGUAAACUUCUUUUGUCAGGGAGCAAUUGGGUCCACGCGUGGGCUUAGCGAGAGUACCUGAAGAAUAAGCAUCGGCUAACUCCGUGCCAGCAGCCGCGGUAAUACGGAGGAUGCGAGCGUUAUCCGGAUUUAUUGGGUUUAAAGGGUGCGUAGGCGGAUUUUUAAGUCAGCGGUAAAAUGUCCGGGCUCAACCCGGGCCGGCCGUUGAAACUGGGGAUCUUGAGUGGGCGAGAAGUAUGCGGAAUGUGUGGUGUAGCGGUGAAAUGCAUAGAUAUCACGCAGAACUCCGAUUGCGAAGGCAGCAUACCGGCGCCCUACUGACGCUGAGGCACGAAAGCGUGGGUAUCGAACAGGAUUAGAUACCCCUGUA